GACGUAGGGCGCGAGCGUUGUCCGGAUUUAUUGGGCGUAAAGAGCUCGUAGGCGGCUUGUCGCGUCGAAUGUGAAAUCUCAGGGCUCAACUCUGACAUUGCAUUCGAUACGGGCAGGCUAGAGUUCGGUAGGGGAGACUGGAAUUCCUGGUGUAGCGGUGAAAUGCGCAGAUAUCAGGAGGAACACCGGUGGCGCAAGCGGCGCUCUGGGCCAUACCUGACACUGAGAUACGAAGGCAUGGGUAGCGAACGGG
rnacentral:rRNA from 1 species